ensembl:misc_RNA 7SK 7SK RNA
GGAUGUGAGGGCGAUCUGGCUGCGACAUCUGUCACCCCAUUGAUCGCCAGGGUUGAUUCGGCUGAUCUGGCUGGCUAGGUGGGUGUUCCCUUCCUCCCUCACCACUCCAUGUGUGUCCCUCCCGAAGCUGCGCACUCGGUCGAAGAGGACGACAUCCCCGAUAGAGGAGGACCAGUCUUCGGUCAAGAGUAUACGAGUAGCUGCGCUCCCCUGCUAGCACCUCCAAACAAGCUCUCAGGGUCCAAUAAAUAAAAGGAAACAGCUACAUUGCUUAUCUAUUCCAUAACACUUAGAAGUGUCAACAUUCUCCAUG